UGUAUGUUUGUCAAUUUUGGUGAAGGUUAAAUUUUCCGGCCACCGUGCACGGUGGCCGCAGCGGCGGAUCCGCGACCGGCCGGCGAGACUCCGGCGAGACUUCCAAGGGACAGAAUGCUCUCCUCUUCGCGCGGAAACACGAAAUGAAAUCUGAUUUUAAAUCGGCUUAUAAAAUACAAAAUGCGAGGACAAAAGCUGGAAGCAUGUGGCUAAAAAAGGCAGUCCUUUUAAAGGACAAUAAAGAACUGU